GCAAGAAAGGGUAACAAACCAGCCAACAAAUGGGAGGUUUUUCCUGAGUGCAUGAUGAGAAAGAACUGCCAGGAAAGCUGCAGAACAGAGGUCUGAAAACAUAAGAGAAGCCAGGAAAAUGCAAGUCCUUCCUCCUGACCCUAGAAAAUCUCUGCUGCCAAGGCUGGGACUCUGCUGCCAACUUCAGGCCUGGGAAAACCAAGACUCCAGGAGCUCUACCUCUAGGAUUCUUCCAAACAUCUCACCAUGUCCUCUGAUACCUCUGUAGUCAUCUGCCACAACCUACUUCUGAAUAAAUCCUACAUUCCAC
rnacentral:lncRNA from 1 species